rnacentral:rRNA from 1 species
AACGGCCGCGGUAUUUUGACCGUGCAAAGGUAGCGCAAUCAAUUGUCUUUUAAAUGAAGGCCCGUAUGAAUGGCACAACGAGGGCUUAACUGUCUCCUUUUUUCAGUCAAUGAAAUUGAUCUUCCCGUGCAGAAGCGGGAAUUUUUACAUAAGACGAGAAGACCCUAUGGAGCUUACAAACGCAAGAGUAGACCAUGUCACUAACUCUAGUUUAAAUAUAAUAAAACUAAAUGAUUACUGCUCUCAUGUUUUUGGUUGGGGCGACCACGGAGUAAAAAUAACCCUCCAUGAAGAACGAAAAUACAUCAUUUUCCUAUUUAAGAGAAACAACCCUAAAAAUCAGAAUUUCUGACUUUACUGAUCCGGCAAAGCCGAUUUACGAACCGAGUUACCCUAGGGAUAACAGCGCAAUCCUCUUUUAGAGUCCCUAUCGACAAGAGGGUUUACGACCUCGAUGUUGGACCAGGACAUCCUAAU